rnacentral:rRNA from 1 species
GAUGAACGCUGGCGGCGUGCCUAACACAUGCAAGUCGAACGAAGCACUUUUACCGGAGAUUCGUCGAAGGUGAAUUUGACUUAGUGGCGGACGGGUGAGUAAUGUAUGAGCAACCUGCCUUUCAGAGGGGGACAACAGUUGGAAACGACUGCUAAUACCGCAUAAUGUAUCGAGGGGGCAUCCUUUUGAUACCAAAGGAGCAAUCCGCUGAAAGAUGGGCUCAUAUCUGAUUAGUUAGUUGGUGGGGUAACGGCCUACCAAGACUGCGAUCAGUAGCCGGACUGAGAGGUUGAACGGCCACAUUGGGACUGAGAUACGGCCCAGACUCC